AGAUUCUCCUACCAUGUGCCGACUAACAGACAUGAAUUUCAGCUGGUAGUUAAAGUUUUCACAGCAGACACACAUCACUGAGCUGGAAGAUACAUUCUAAGACUGAGAAUGUUGAUACCCACAUCUCUCCAAAAGGAAUAUCCUCCAUCAUCUCUAACACCUGUUGCAAAUACCAUCUCAUUGUCCAGUGCGUGCAGGAACGUGAGACAGGACACAAAAAGAAGCAAGAACAAAGAUGUUCAGCA